rnacentral:lncRNA from 1 species
UGGUUCCAAUUGUUUUUACAUCAUACAUUUUUCCCAUAUGGGAAUUUUAGAAACAUUUAAAAUAAGUUCUGUGUUUUGUGUAGGCUUACCUUGACGUGAUGUUUUGAUAACCAUGUAUAUCUAAUUAGCUGCUUAUGUGGCAAUCAUAAAGAACUGCAAAUUACAUGAUGAUCUGAAUGAAACUGCUGAAUCGAGGCAAAGGUCACCCAAGUUGAGGUAAACGUUGAAAGUAUCAAUAUCAACGAAAGCGAAUCUUAAUCGAGCCUAACCUACAUGGAUUAAAAUAUAAACCAUGGAAUGUUAUUGGAGGGCGAGUCCCAAAAUAAAAAAUGCAGCAGCAGUCAACUUCAUCACUGCCCCUUCUGCACAUAUAAGGCUGAACAAUAUAUGGCCAACAACCGCAUCAAAGGUCAUGCUUCAGUGUGGCACAAAGAGUUCACAAUCAUAAAGUGUGGCUUCAGUUGUAGAAAUGCGACACGCUGUGUUUGCUUCAAACAGCCAUGUCACUGCUACUUGGUUUCCACCAGCAUCAUUGAACCCCAUGGAUCACCUGCCGGAGAAUGCAGCAAGUCUGCAGUGGAUUCUUAUUUCAGUAUGAGAACCUGGACAUUGGACAAUAUGUGAAAACAUGCAGCAAAUUAGGCGAUCGUGGUGCCUAGUUCUCCUGCAAAACUUUCCCAUGUCGUCUGAAGAAGGGAGGUUGAAAGAUCGAAAAGGGCAGCGAAAACAAAACACACUACAGGAUUUCAAGACACCCCCCCCCCCCCCCAAGAAGUCCCAGCAUGUCUCAUCAGCAUCCAGCUCUGCAGGAUCAGACGAUACUGAAAACAAAAUGCACGGCGAACUGGGAGCUGUGAACUGGGAAGCAGAUGUUCUUCAAAGAGACACCCUAGAGGCAGCAAGGAGGUGCGAACGACAAAGCAUUUAAAGGCAUUGAUUCCCUCCCUAGUGUAAUUAGGAUGGACGGGAAGACCACAUUACAACCCUUAAAGAACAACGGUUGUAUUAUGGCCUGGAUGAAGAGGAAAAUAUUAUCCUCAAGGAACCAUUCAUGUUCCAGUUACAGAGAGAUGUUCUAUGUGGAGGCAGUUGACAAGAAAAUGACUGUCUGCCUCUUCUGAGGAGCAGGAGUGAAGGCAUUUUUGAGGAGUGGUCAAAACUUGUUUUUGUCUGCUGUGUUAAUUGUUUCAAUUGUUAAUUGUGUUAUGUUGUUUAGUAAAGAUGACGUAGAACUCACCCGAGUCUAUGAUCUCUGAUCUCUGAUGAUUUACUGGAGCUGGUAUAACUUCAUGUACAAAGCAC